rnacentral:rRNA from 1 species
AACGUAGGAGACAAGCGUUAUCCGGAGUUACUGGGCGUAAAGGGCGUGUAGGCGGCUUUUUAAGUGGGUUGUGAAAGCGGCUGGCUCAACCAGCCGAGGCCGACCCAGACUGGAGAGCUGGAGGGCGGUAGAGGGGUGUGGAAUUCCGGGUGUAGUGGUGAAAUGCGUAGAGAUCCGGAGGAACACCAGAGGCGAAGGCGACACUCUAGGCCGCACCUGACGCUGAGACGCGACAGCACGGGGAGCGAAC